rnacentral:rRNA from 1 species
CGCGGCCUAUCAGCUUGUUGGUGGGGUAAUGGCCUACCAAGGCUACGACGGGUAGCUGGUCUGAGAGGAUGGCCAGCCACAUUGGGACUGAGAUACGGCCCAGACUCCUACGGGAGGCAGCAGUGGGGAAUAUUGCGCAAUGGGCGAAAGCCUGACGCAGCGACGCCGCGUGGGGGAUGAAGCAUUUCGGUGUGUAAACCCCUGUUGCUCGGGACGAAAAACUGGUUUUGACCAGUCUGACGGUACCGGGUGAGGAAGCACCGGCUAACUCCGUGCCAGCAGCCGCGGUAAUACGGAGGGUGCGAGCGUUGUCCGGAAUCACUGGGCGUAAAGGGCGCGUAGGCGGUCUGCUAAGCGUGCGGUGAAAGCCUGGGGCUCAACCCCAGGUCUGCCGUGCGAACUGGUGGACUCGAGCACUGUAGAGGCAGGUGGAAUUCCGGGUGUAGCGGUGGAAUGCGUAGAGAUCCGGAAGAACACCGGUGGCGAAGGCGGCCUGCUGGGCAGUUGCUGACGCUAAAGCGCGACAGCGUGGGGAACAAACAGGAUUAGAUACCCUGGUAGUCCACGCCGUAAACGAUGGGAACUAGGUGCUUGGGGGAGCGACCCCCUGAGUGCCGGCGCUAACGCAUUAAGUUCCCCGCCUGGGGAGUACGG